rnacentral:lncRNA from 10 species
UGGGAAAAUACAUUUCUGUAGUUUGCAGCAGCCAGUCUGUGGUAUUUUGUUAUGGCGAGCCUGGCAAAUGAAUACAGGUGGCUUUUCUCAUUUUUGCAGUAAUUGCCAAAAUGGCUGCAAAUUACUCCCCUCCUUGCAGCUACACUCUUUUGCAUUGUGACUUUGCAGCUCAGGGAGGAAGGACUAUUCACUAUCACUUGACUUUGUGGACUUAUUCUAGCCAAUAAAAUGUGCCAGAAAUGUCCAGGCUGGGCUUUGAGAUGAGGCUUCCCUGGAGCCCACUCAGGCCCCCUGUGACCAGUGCAGGCUGACUCAUUGCCAGUUUCAGCCGGCUGGUGGGCUUCAGGUACGUGAGUGAGCCUGGCCCAGAGCAGCAGCAUGGCCUGGCCUAGUCCAGCCCAAGCUGCUAACCAGAUGAUUGCUGGAAAUCACUAACUCUUGUUGGUUUAUUCUGUAGCAAAUCUAACUGGGCUGAUUUCCCAUUCAGAGGAGCAGGACAAAGCCAGGUCACGGCUUGUCAAUCUAUACAACGUAGGUUUCCAGUAAGUGUGAGUAUCCUCAACCCAAACCCUGCACCCCCAGGUCAGGAGGCCAAAGAAGUUGAACAGUGAACUAGUUAGGUUCUGUCUACUUAAUUUAGAAUAAUUUUUCUCAUAAUUUGACCAACAUGCAUGAGAGAAGUCCUCAACCUCUGCCAAAUUAAGUGUAUCCUAUGACUCUCCAUCUGAAAACAUCCUUUCUGGGGCCAGGGAAGUUUCUUCCAUCCCUGUCUUUUGGUGGCUGUGUUGAAGAUGCAAUGAGAAGAUAUUGGUCAUCCUCCUUUUCCUAGGUAAAUUCUGCCAUUUGCCCUCUGAAUGCUAUCUACCUUCAGAACGCUAUCACUUGCUCCUGUCCAACGAGAAAGAGUGAGCUUUGUGUCUUGUAGCAAAUGCACGAUUUGAUGAGCAUAUCUUUGCUCUCACUUUCUGGUUGAGAGCUUCUGCUUUCUGAUUUUGAGGCUAGAUUUUAACCGCAUCUGAGAAGGAGACUUCUUAACACAGGGCAGUUAGAGAAACGAAGCAUGUCCUGUACCAGGAGAACAUGUUAAGUGAGUUUACUUUUGAGAGACAGAAACUGGACCUAAGGCUGGCUUCAGUUCUUCUCCUUCCACAGAGCUCCCGGAAUGUCCCAGAAUGUUGAAG